rnacentral:rRNA from 1 species
GCGACGGGUGAGGAAUGCAUCGGAAUCCCACUCUUUUCGUGGGGGAUAACCGUAGGGAAACCUUACGCUAAUACCGCCAUACGACCUACGGGUGAAAGCCGGGGACCUUUCGGGCCUGGCGCGAAAGAAUGAGCCGAUGCCCCGAUUAGCUAGUUGGCGGGGUAAGAGCCCACCAAGGCGACGAUCGGUAGCUGGUCUGAGAGGAUGAUCAGCCACACUGGAACUGAGACACGGUCCAGACUCCUACGGGAGGCAGCAGUGGGGAAUAUUGGACAAUGGGCGCAAGCCUGAUCCAGCCAUACCGCGUGGGUGAAGAAGGCCUUCGGGUUGUAAAGCCCUUUUGUUGGGAAAGAAAAGCAGUUCGGUUAAUACCCGAUUGUUCUGACGGUACCCAAAGAAUAAGCACCGCUAAC